CACGUAGGGGGCAAGCGUUGUCCGGAUUUAUUGGGCGUAAAGAGCUCGUAGGUGGUUCGGUAAGUCGGGUGUUAAACCCCCAGGCUCAACCUGGGGACGCCACUCGAUACUGCUGUGACUAGAGUCCGGUAGGGGAGCGUGGAAUUCCUGGUGUAGCGGUGAAAUGCGCAGAUAUCAGGAGGAACACCAGCGGCGAAGGCGGUUCUCUGGGCAUUACCUGACGCUGAGGAGCGAAAGUGUGGGGAGCGAACAGG
rnacentral:rRNA from 1 species